UCGGGAAUAUUGCGCAAUGGAGGAAACUCUGACGCAGUGACGCCGCGUGCAGGAAGAAGGUUUUCGGAUUGUAAACUGCUUUAGACAGGGAAGAAAAAGACAGUACCUGUAGAAUAAGCUCCGGCUAACUACGUGCCAGCAGCCGCGGUAACACGUAGGGAGCAAGCGUUAUCCGGAUUUAUUGGGUGUAAAGGGUGCGUAGACGGGAAGACAAGUUAGUUGUGAAAUCCCUCGGCUUAACUGAGGAACUGCAACUAAACUAUCAUUCUUGAGUGCUGGAGAGGAAAGUGGAAUUCCUAGUGUAGCGGUGAAAUGCGUAGAUAUUAGGAGGAACACCAGUGGCGAAGGCGACUUUCUGGACAGUAACUGACGUUGAGGCACGAAAGUGUGGGGAGCAAACAGGAUUAGAUACC
rnacentral:rRNA from 1 species